UUGCAUGGCUGUCGUCAGCUCGUGUCGUGAGAUGUUCGGUUAAGUCCGCUAACGAGCGCAACCCUCGCUGUGUGUUAUAUGUGUCACACGGGACUGCCGGUCUUAAGCCGGAGGAAGGUGGGGAUGAUGUCAAGUCAGCAUGGCCUUUAUAUCCUGGGCUACACACACGCUACAAUGGCCAACACAAUAGGUUGCUAAGCCGCGAGGUGGCGCCAAUCCAUAAAGUUGGUCUCAGUUCAGAUUGUAGGCUGCAACCCGCCUGCAUGAAGAUGGAGUUGCUAGUAACCGCAGGUCAGCUAUACUGCGGUGAAUACGUUCCCGGGGCUU
rnacentral:rRNA from 1 species